AGUGAACGCUGGCGGUAGGCCUAACACAUGCAAGUCGAACGGCAGCACAGUAAGAGCUUGCUCUUACGGGUGGCGAGUGGCGGACGGGUGAGGUAUACAUCGGAAUCUACUUUUUCGUGGGGGAUAACGUAGGGAAACUUACGCUAAUACCGCAUACGACCUACGUGUGAAAGCAGGGGAUCUUCGGACCUUGCGCGAUUGAAUGAGCCGAUGUCGGAUUAGCUAGUUGGCGGGGUAAAGGCCCACCAAGGCGACGAUCCGUAGCUGGUCUGAGAGGAUGAUCAGCCACACUGGAACUGAGACACGGUCCAGACUCCUACGGGAGGCAGCAGUGGGGAAUAUUGGACAAUGGGCGCAAGCCUGAUCCAGCCAUACCGCGUGGGUGAAGAAGGCCUUCGGGUUGUAAAGCCCUUUUGUUGGGAAAGAAAAGCAGCAGGUUAAUACCCCGCGGUUCUGACGGUACCCAAAGAAUAAGCACCGGCUAACUUCGUG
rnacentral:rRNA from 1 species